rnacentral:rRNA from 1 species
UACGUAGGGGGCAAGCGUUGUCCGGAUUUAUUGGGCGUAAAGAGCGUGUAGGUGGCCAAGUAGGUCCGCUGUGAAAACUUGAGGCUCAACCUCAAGCUGUCGGUGGAAACCCCUUGGCUAGAGUCCGGAAGAGGAGAGUGGAAUUCCUGGUGUAGCGGUGAAAUGCGCAGAUAUCAGGAAGAACACCAAUGGCGAAGGCAGCUCUCUGGGACGGUACUGACACUGAGACGCGAAAGCGUGGGGAGACCGAACAGG